rnacentral:lncRNA from 1 species
UGUGAGCAUCACUCGACCAUACUGACGCCAGUUUGAUUGCGUGGCGGAGGAGGUGGGCAUCUGCACUAGGUCACCGGAGACCCGAGGAAGAAGAAGAAUGGGGAAAGGGAAAAGCAAUGGGCGGCGGCGGACAGACGGGCACGGGCGGAAUCACUUCUAGCCGCGACGAGGUAGGUCCCGCGCUUACUGGACAAGUGGUGGGUCCCGUGCUUACGUGGAUACGUUGUGGGUCCAAC